rnacentral:misc_RNA from 1 species
AACGCAAAUUGCACUCUCCGUUUCGGAGAGUAUGCCUGUUUGAGGGUCGGUCUAAAUAAAAAUCGAGUUUAUUGCUAUAUUUGGUAACACCUCGGAAUUGGGUUAUCUUUACCUUUUUGGUCAAGCGGCCUAAAAUUUUUUAACGAUUUUACGAACGUGUUUAAGAUUCUCUUAUACGUUCAUGACAUCGAAUCCUACUAGAUGUGACCGUUACAUCGUUUUCGCAUCUAUAAAUUUUUUUGUUGACCUCGGAUCAGGUAAGAGUACCCGCUGAACUUAA